rnacentral:tRNA from 1 species
GCCCUGAUGGCCUAGUGGUUAAAGUUUAGCACUCUCACUGCUUCAGUGGCCCAGGUUCGAUUCCUAGUCAUGGAA